AUGAACUGCGCGCAGCCUGAUCAGCAUGCCGCGUGGGUGAAGAAGGUCUUCGGAUCGUAAAGCCCUUUCGACAGGGACGAUGAUGACGGUACCUGUAGAAGAAGCCCCGGCUAACUUCGUGCCAGCAGCCGCGGUAAAUG
rnacentral:rRNA from 1 species